UACGUAGGGUGCGAGCGUUAAUCGGAAUUACUGGGCGUAAAGCGUGCGCAGGCGGUUGUGCAAGACAGAUGUGAAAUCCCCGGGCUUAACCUGGGAACUGCAUUUGUGACUGCACGGCUAGAGUGCGGCAGAGGGGGAUGGAAUUCCGCGUGUAGCAGUGAAAUGCGCAGAUAUGCGGAGGAACACCGAUGGCGAAGGCAAUCCCCUGGGCCUGCACUGACGCUCAUGCACGAAAGCGUGGGGAGCAAACAGG
rnacentral:rRNA from 1 species